UUUCUAUUUUGUUUUCAAAACAUUUGUUAUUUUUUUUAUUUUAUUUCGUAAGUACAUGUAAAUACCAUGUAUUAUGUAUAAGAAUAUUUGAAUUCACCAUUCAAUUUCAUUUUGUUUCAGGCAAUCAUCGUAAUUCUUAUAACAUAUAAUGUCAACUUUCAAUAUUAGUCUAAUUAAUUUAUUUUCUUUUCAAAUCACGUAUCUACAAUUUGAGAAAAUGGUAUAGAAAUUAUUAGUUCAACUGAAUCACGAUAUGCAUGGACAAUGGUGAUCGGAUAACUUAAAUAAAGGUAAUUAUUUGAAAAAUAAAUAGUUUUCUAUUAUGAAAAGUGAGAUUAUUGUUUUUACAGUAAACCUUAUAAUUCAACUUUUGAGAAGUUGAACCAUUUCCAAGAAAAAAUAACCAUCCAUGUUCAAUAGACCUAUUUGUAUGAAAGUCAGCACUACAAAAUGGUAUUUUGGCCUUUUUUCUCACACUAUAUGCAUACAGGUAAAAUUUAACCUGUAGGUAUAAUUUAUUUUUAUGGAAACCAAUGAAACAUUUAUAUCAUGAACUUUCAAACAAAAAGCUAGUGGCGAAAUUAAUUUGUGAUUUUCCAUAAACAUAAAAGGCAAUGGGGCCAAUGCUUAAUGGUAUGCUUCCUUAAUAUAUGCCGGUGUUUGGUCUCAGUUUAUGAGAGAACUAUCCAACAACAAAUCUCACUUUAAAUUAGGGCUGUAAACUCGGUAAAGAAUUACUAAUCGAGUACAUGUUGGAUUUAACGAGCGAUUCUCGGGUACUCACUCGAAAAAAUAGUUCAAAGGAGCGAAAAGAUACGUAGGAAAUCGUUUUAUGACCCUAUCAAGUUGUUUUAAAUUCUCGUUGUCCUCGAAUAUAAACCCGUGUCAGUGCUUAUGUAAGUUGCAUAUUUGUCUUUAUGAUAUAUAGGUUUUUAUCAAUAAAACGACAUCAAAUAAUGUUAUUUUCUAUUUUAUAUUUCUUAAAACAAAAACAAAACCAAUGACUCUUGAAACAUUAAGAAAUAUAAAUACAAAUAAAUAAGGAAAGCCCAAGAAACUGAAAUAUAUAGUGUAAACCUACCUGAGACCACUUAAAUGACGGUCAGACCCCCCUGUUCGUUCAAUGUACAUAAAACUGGAUUAAUUCAUAGACUCUGUAUAUAUAAAGAAUGUAUCAAAAUGAUAUGUGAGAAUAAUGAUAUCUUCGAUAUCUAUGGAGGGCUUAGAUUGUAACUCUUCAGUUGAAAUUGUCAAAAUUUCAAAUCAAAGAGCACAGGGCAAUAAUGAGAGCCCCUCAUCUCUCAAUCUGCCUACACUUAAGCAGACAGUUAGUUAAUAGGUAGAUACAAAAAAGACUUAAAGGAAUUUAGAUACACUUUUUAUCUUUUAUGUUUACGGAGUGCCCAAAGUGCCGGUUGGAUAUUCAAAAUAUAUAGCGAAAACCUACCUGAGACCGCUUAAAUGACGGUCAGACCCCCUGUUCUUUCAAUGUACAUAAAACUGGAUAACUUCAUAGAAUCUGUAUAUAUAAAGAUUGUAUAAAAAUGAUUUGCAAGAAUAAUGAUAUCGAAAUUGAGGGCUUAAAUUGUCACUUUUCAGUAAAAAUUCUCAAAAUGUCAGGCCAAAGGGCACAGGGCAAUGGUGAGAGCCCCCAUGAUCUCUCAAUCUGCCCAAAAUUAGGCAGACAUUUAGUUAAUAGGUAAAUACAAACGAGACUAAAAGGAAUUUUGGUACACUUCCUGUCUUCUAUGUUUACGGAGAGCCUAAAGUGCCAGUUGGAUAUUCAAAAUAUAUAGCGAAAACCUACCUACCUGAGACCGCUUAAAUGACGGUCAGACCCACUGUUCUUUAAAUGUACAUAAAACUGGAUAACUUCAAAGAAACUGUAUAUAUAAAGAUUGUAUAAAAAUGAUUUGCAAGAAUAAUGAUAUCGAAAUGGAGGGCUUAAAUUGUCACUUUUCAGUAAAAAUUCUCAAAAUGUCAGGACAAAGGGCACAGGGCAAUGGUGAGAGCCCCAUGAUCUCUCAAUCUGCCCAAAAUUAAGCAGACAGUUAGUUGAUAGGUAAAUACAAACGAGACUAAAAGGAAGUUUGGUACACUUCCUGUCUUCUAUGUUUACGGAGGGCCAAAAGUGCCAGUUGGAUAUUCAAAAUAUAUAGCGAAAACCUAUCUGAGACUGCUUAAAUGACGAUCAGACCCCCUGUUCUUCCAAUGUACAUAAAACUGAAUGAAUUCAUAGACUCUAUAUAUAUGUAGAUUGUAUCAAAAGGAUUUUCGAGAAUAAUUUCAUCUUCGAUAUCUACGGAGGUCUUUUCAGCUAAAAAUUGUCUAAAUUUCAGGACAAAGGGCACAAGGCAAUGGUGAUAGCCCCCUGAUCUCUAAUUCUGCCUAUACAUACAGUCUAUUAUUUAGUUAAAUUUAAUGGACUUUGAAAGACUAGGAGGGUCUCACCAUUAUUUAAGCGCUGUCAGGUAGGUUUUCACUAUAUAUUUUUUUGGGGGGGGGGCUUUCCAUAAAUAUUUCCAUUUAUAUUCCUUAAUGUUUUCUAGAGUUAGCGAUUUUUCUUUUUGUUUUUCAGAAAUAUCAUGUAUAAAAGUACAUCUUUGAAGUUGUUUUUAUUAACAACAAUCUAUAUUACAUAAAGACAAAUAUGCAAGUUAAAAAAGGGUUUAUAUUCGAGAACAACAAAAAUUUAAGACAGCUUGAAGAGGUCAUGAAACAAUUUGCUACGUAUCUUAUUAGAUCUUAACUAUGAGAAUCAUGCUUUUAAUGUCAUGAAGUUGUUUAUUUAUGAUUUUCAACUUAAUUAUUAAUAUCCAACUGACUACUAGCAGCCGGUUGGAUAUUGAAUAUCGAAUAUCGAAUAUCGAAUAACCGGCUGCUAACGUCACAUACAUUUAUCCCUAGAACAAGACAUUAAAUUCAUGUGUUCUUAUUGUAAAAAAGCAAUAACAGUUUACAGGUCACUUAUAAGUCGAGUAUCAAAUUUAGUAUUGCAAAAGGCCGAUAAUACACAUGUUAAUAACUCCAUAGUGGAAAAAUCUGAAACUGCAAUUAAGAAUUGCUGAGUGCGGUAAAUAAAAUGAAUACACAUCAAUAGUUUAAGUAACUUUUGAAAAACAUUUUUCAACUCAGAAAUUUUGAAAAGCCAAGUUUCAUAUUGAAUAAGAUUGAAAUACAAUUCAAUUAUCUCCGUUCUGUUGCAAAUUAAACACGUAAUUGCAUAUUUCAAUCAUUGGUGUAGUGUACAAUCACAUAACAUAAAAAUUUCACGGAACUUUGUUGUCAUCUUCGGAACCAUAAGCAUUUGAAGUAUUUGUUAUCAAAAAAUGUAUAACAGAGUCUUUCUUCUUGCAAUCGUACUUUAGAAUAACAGAAUAUAUAAUGUAUAAGCAGGAGGCAAAUAACUUUCAGUUCAAAAAGUCCGAAUAUGUUCCUGAACGAUUUCUUAGAAAUGACAUGUAAAAUUGGAAAUUAUAUUUAUAUUUGAUUUAUCAAAUUGUGAUGUAUAAUACACUUUAGAAUAACACGACAUGCUUAAUAUGUAUUUCCCUAAAUCAAAAUAAACUUUUAGAUUCUGCUUAAAUAAACUUAUCUAGAAUAAAAUCUAAAACCAAUCUCAGAUCUGUUAUGUUUUUGGGAUGUAAGAGUACCCGUCUACGUCCAAUCUGUUUCUUGUUAGAUGUAUCUCUUUAUAUAUUCAUGACUUAAGCAUUUUUAAACUGGAUUUUAUAGUUUGUUCUUAUGUCGUACUGUUACACCACAGUCCCAGGUUGGGAAGGGUUGGCGCCUUCAAACUAGUUUAACCCCGUUACAUUUUGCAUGUGCAUGUCCAAAAUGGCCUGUUCUUCAGUGGUGGUCGUUUGUUGAUGUGUUACAUGUUUCCUUUUCGUUUAUAGUUUGUAUAUACAUUAGGCUAUUAGUUUAUUGAAUUGUUGGCUUUCAAAUUUUUGGGUUUUAGCUUUCAUGCUGAUGAUGAUUGUUUAUUCCAGGAAAAAGCAUCGGACUCAUACAAUUAAAAGAAUGUUAUUUUCAUUUCACAUUAUACAGCCAUAUUAUCAAACCAUAUGUAGUAUGUGAAGGUUUAACAUUGAUCAAUAGUUUUGAAGUGGUAUUAAUCAUAAACAAAAUGUAUCCCUUUUUAAAGAAAGUAAAACAGUUGUUUAUCAUUGAUCAUAUUUCAGCAACAACCGAUAUCUUGGUGAAUUACGAGUAACCAGCCAACCAAACCGAGUAUGGACGCAGUCGACAGUCUAGUGGAACACAGAGUGGUGUUUAUGACAAUAUUGCGAUUGGUGGUCAUACUAAUACUCAGAUGAAUUGCAAUAACGAGGAAUUAUACGAGAACAUUUAGAUAUUUCUUUUUUUUUUUAUUUCAUUAUUACUUUAAUUAUAGUGUAUUUAUGAUAAAAUAUAAUUACAUUUUAAUACCACAUUAGACAUUUUAGAAUUUCUAAAUAUCAAUGAUUUUUAUACAUCGGUUGUUAUUGGCUCUGAACAACUUAUCAGUGGCUACGAGUAUCCUCAAAUGUUUACUUUGUGUCUUUUGUGUUAUGAUGAAUAUAUUAAUACCCUGUCUGGUCUGUCCUUUUGUAAGAUGCAUUUCUGCUUUGUAUCGAUUGAAUGAGUUAUGUCUUUUAAAUUGAGUAGUUAUGUCCCUUUGCUUGUGAUGUAUUGUUACUUACCUGUUCAAGGUAAUGGUAUGGUUGGCGCGAAAGAACGUAUUGAACCGGCUACAUUAUAAUGUGCCUGUUCGAAGUCAGGACCAUGUUGAUGGCGUGUAAAUAAAACAUCGUCAUCCAUUCAAGUUCACACUAAGUAAGUGUUUCACAAACUGUUCCAGAAGAGAGGUGGAAAAUACAAAACGACGUUCAAACUCAUAAGUCAAAGACAAACUGGCAAUACCAUGGUAAGGAAAAAUCGACCAAACGACAGUCUACCAAUGACAAUAUAGAUUUCCAAAGAUUAAGCAGGGUGAAUGUAAUCUGGGAGAUAAAAUAACCACAUGUAGUUCAGCU
rnacentral:lncRNA from 1 species